GUAAUUUUAGUUUAAGAAAAAACGUUUGCUUUGCAUGCAUAUAAUUUGGGUUGUCCAAAAAUUACA
rnacentral:tRNA from 1 species